rnacentral:rRNA from 1 species
GUGGGGAAUAUUGGACAAUGGGCGAAAGCCUGAUCCAGCCAUGCCGCGUGUGUGAAGAAGGCCUUCGGAUUGUAAAGCACUUUCAGUUGGGAGGAAGGGCNNUAAAUUAAUACUUUGCUGUUUUGACGUUACCGACAGAAUAAGCACCGGCUAACUCCGUGCCAGCAGCCGCGGUAAUACGGAGGGUGCAAGCGUUAAUCGGAAUUACUGGGCGUAAAGCGCGCGUAGGUGGUUCGUUAAGUCGGAUGUGAAAUCCCCGGGCUCAACCUGGGAACUGCAUUCGAAACUGGCGAGCUAGAGUAUGGUAGAGGGGGGUGGAAUUUCCUGUGUAGCGGUGAAAUGCGUAGAUAUCGGNAGGAACACCGGUGGCGAAGGCGACCCCCUGGACUGAUACUGACGCUCAGGUGCGAAAGCGUGGGGAGCAAACAGGAUUAGAUACCCCCGUAGUCCGGU